CCUACGGGAGGCAGCAGUGGGGAAUAUUGCACAAUGGGCGAAAGCCUGAUGCAGCAACGCCGCGUGAGGGAUGACGGCCUUCGGGUUGUAAACCUCUUUUAGUAGGGAAGAAGCGAAAGUGACGGUACCUGCAGAAAAAGCACCGGCUAACUACGUGCCAGCAGCCGCGGUAAUACGUAGGGUGCAAGCGUUGUCCGGAAUUAUUGGGCGUAAAGAGCUCGUAGGCGGUUUGUCGCGUCUGCUGUGAAAUCCCGAGGCUCAACCUCGGGCUUGCAGUGGGUACGGGCAGACUAGAGUGCGGUAGGGGAGAUUGGAAUUCCUGGUGUAGCGGUGGAAUGCGCAGAUAUCAGGAGGAACACCGAUGGCGAAGGCAGAUCUCUGGGCCGUAACUGACGCUGAGGAGCGAAAGCAUGGGGAGCGAACAGGAUUAGAUACCCUGGUAGUCCACUGCGUAACGUAGGUCGCGAGAUGUAGGUACGUUACCGUACGUUCGUGUGUGUGUCUACGCAUAGUCGCCCGCCGUCGGGAGGUACGGCCGCGACGGACGUAAACGUUAAACGUAGUAGUUAGUUACGUCGUUGAGACGUUGCCGACGGACGACGACGAGGGAGGAGG
rnacentral:rRNA from 1 species